UAAAUCAGUUAUAAUUUAUUUGAUAGUACCUUUACACAUGGAUAACUGUGGUAAUUCUAGAGCUAAUACAUGCUAAAAACCUCGACUUCGGAAGGGGUGUAUUUAUUAGAUUAAAAACCAAUGCCCUUCGGGGCUCCUUGGUGAUUCAUGAUAACUUAACGAAUCGCAUGGCCUUGCGCCGGCGAUGGUUCAUUCAAAUUUCUGCCCUAUCAACUUUCGAUGGUAAGAUAGAGGCUUACCAUGGUGUUGACGGGUAACGGGGAAUUAGGGUUCGAUUCCGGAGAGGGAGCCUGAGAAACGGCUACCACAUCCAAGGAAGGCAGCAGGCGCGCAAAUUACCCAAUCCCAAUACGGGGAGGUAGUGACGAUAAAUACUGAUGCAGAGCUCUUUUGGGUUUUGCAAUUGGGAAUGAGUACAAUCUAAAUCCCUUAACGAGGAACAAUUGGAGGGCAAGUCUGGUGCCAGCAGCCGCGGUAAUUCCAGCUCCAAUAGCGUAUAUUAAAGUUGUUGCGGUUAAAAAGCUCGUAGUUGAACCUUGGGUUUGGCUGGCCGGUCCGCCUCACCGCGUGUACUGGUCCGGCCGAACCUUUCCUUCUGGGGAAUCUCAUGCCCUUCACUGGGUGUGUUGGGGAACCAGGACUUUUACUUUGAAAAAAUUAGAGUGUUCAAAGCAGGCCUAUGCUCGAAUACAUUAGCAUGGAAUAAUAGAAUAGGACGGCAGUUCUAUUUUGUUGGUUUCUAGGACCGCCGUAAUGAUUAAUAGGGAUAGUCGGGGGCAUCAGUAUUGAAUUGUCAGAGGUGAAAUUCUUGGAUUUAUUCAAGACUAACUACUGGCGAAAGCAUUUGCCAAGGAUGUUUUCAUUAAUCAGUGAACGAAAGUUAGGGGAUCGAAGACGAUCAGA
rnacentral:rRNA from 1 species